UGGUGGCAGAAUCAGGAUCCAAAGAGAACUUCUGACAGCAUUUGGGGACAAUGAGAAACAGGUGCGGUGCCUGUGAACCCUUAAGUUCUCUGUGAUUCUCCCUGUUUCCGAGGGCCAUUGCUUCUCCACUGUACGAACUUACGAACAUUUCCGUCCGGG
rnacentral:lncRNA from 1 species